rnacentral:lncRNA from 1 species
GAGGUCACAGACUCGAUAAAACUCUCUUAGGUGUGUGUAUGGGUUUUCCUCACCUUGUCCUGAGAAAGGUUGUUUUUGAAUAAAUUCUAUGUAUUCGGGGUCUAUCUCAAAACUAGAUGCUAUGAUAGGCUUUGAAGAUUUUGGUGGUUCGAGAUGUGUGCCCAUAGGUCUAUGAAAUUCAUAGAUAGACAUGUUUGAAUUCAUAAUAGACCAGAGAUCAAGGAUUAGAUAAGAAGAAAGAAUAGCAG